rnacentral:rRNA from 1 species
GGACCCGCACAAGCGGUGGAGCAUGUGGUUUAAUUCGAUGCAACGCGAAGAACCUUACCAAGAAUUGACAUGCUGCGAACGUUUACGAAAGUAAAAAGUCUAUUAACUUAGUUAAUAGCGCAGACACAGGUGGUGCAUGGUUGUCGUCAGCUCGUGCCGUGAGGUGUUAGGUUAAGUCCUGCAACGAGCGCAACCCUUGUCUUUAGUUAUAUUCUAGAGAGACUGCCGGUGAUAAACCGGAGGAAGGUGAGGAUGACGUCAAAUCAGCAUGCCCCUUACAUCUUGGGCGACUCACGUGCUACAAUGGUCGGGACAAAGAGAUGCUACCCUGCGAAGGCAAGCUAAACCUCAAAAAACCCGAUCUCAGUUCGGAUUGCAGGCUGCAACUCGCCUGCAUGAAGUUGGAAUCGCUAGUAAUCGC